rnacentral:rRNA from 1 species
AGUGAACGCUGGCGGUAGGCCUAACACAUGCAAGUCGAACGGCACCACAGUAAGACCUUGCUCUUACGGGUCGCGAGUGGCCGACGGGUGAGGAAUACAUCCGAAUCUACUUUUUCCUGGUGGAUAACGUAGGGAGACUUCCGCUAAAACCGCAUACGACCUACGGGUGCAAGCAGGGGAUCUUCGGACCGUGCUCGAUUGAAUGAGCCGCUGUCGGAUUCGCUAGCUGGGGGGCUAAACCCGCACCACGGCGACGAUCCGUACCUGGCCCGAGAGGUUGCUCAGCGCCAUUGGGACCGAGGCAGGGCCCAGAGUCCUACGGGAGCCAGCAGUGGGGAAUAUUGGACAACGGGCGGAAGCCUGAUCCAGCCACACCGUGUGGGAGAAGAAGGCCUUCGGGUUGUAAAGCCCUUCUGGUGGGAAAGAAAAGCAGCAGGUUAAUAACCGGCUGGUCUGACGGCACCCAAAGAAUAAGCACCGGCUAACUUCGUG